AGCUGGUCCAAAAGUAGUGAGUUAUCUCAAUUGAUUGUUCACAGUCAGUUACAGAUCAAAGUCCUUGUUCUACUGUCCCUCCCUUCUCACUACUACACUUGACUAGUCCAAA
rnacentral:Y_RNA from 1 species